UACAGAGGGGGCAAGCGUUGUUCGGAAUUACUGGGCGUAAAGGGCGCGUAGGCGGCCUGUUAAGUCGAACGUGAAAUCCCCGGGCUCAACCCGGGAACUGCGUCCGAUACUGGCAGGCUUGAAUCCGGGAGAGGGAUGCGGAAUUCCAGGUGUAGCGGUGAAAUGCGUAGAUAUCUGGAGGAACACCGGUGGCGAAGGCGGCAUCCUGGACCGGUAUUGACGCUGAGGCGCGAAAGCCAGGGGGAGCA
rnacentral:rRNA from 1 species